AAUCAACGCUGGCGGCGUGCCUAACACAUGCAAGUCGAACGCGAGAGGGGCUUCGGCCCCGAUUGAGUGGCGAACGGGUGAGUAACGCGUGGGUGACCUACCUUCGAGUGGGGGAUAACGUCCCGAAAGGGACGCUAAUACCGCAUAACAUCCUGCUUUUGAAUGGGUGGAGAUCAAAGCCGGGGAUCGCAAGACCUGGCGCUUGAUGAGGGGCCCGCGUCUGAUUAGCAGUUGGUGAGGUAACGGCCCACCAAGGCAACGAUCAGUAUCCGGCCUGAGAGGGCGGACGGACACACUGGGACUGAGACACGGCCCAGACUCCUACGGGAGGCAGUAGUGGGGAAUUGUUCGCAAUGGGCGCAAGCCUGACGACGCAACGCCGCGUGGAGGAUGAAGGUCUUCGGAUUGUAAACUCCUGUUGCCCGGGACGAAUGGCUCCGACCUAACACGUCGGAGUGUGACGGUACCGGGUGAGGAAGCCCGGCUAACUCUGUGCCAGCCGCCGCCGUAA
rnacentral:rRNA from 1 species